UUUAAAGUACUUAAACUCUUAAACUCAUGGUACAAACGAUUCAUUUUGUCUCUAAUCAUAAACAUAAUUUGUCUGGUGUUUCAGUUCUUUAGAUUUAUGCAGUAGCCAUGUUUGUCAAAGUAUUUGGCACCGGUGACAUCAUCUUUGUUGAAAUGCCGGACAGCGUGAUGAGUCCCAGAUGUUAACACACACCAAAAGCAGAGAAAGAAUAAAAUCCAAAGAUAACUAUAACAGCUAUGGAGAUGAUGAUGUGUUGAAUCAAUGUUGAUGAAGACUAUAUUUUGGCAACUUCAGUUAGAGCAAGAGAAUGAUUUCUGUUGUGAAGCAGAGGAUAUAAGAUCGGAA
rnacentral:lncRNA from 1 species